rnacentral:lncRNA from 1 species
CUCAACCCAAGAUCCAUUGUUGCACAGUGUUCAUCCUGGCUGGGGCAAUGAAGACAAGUAUCUCACAGCUAUCUCUAGGGAUGAUGUGCUACCUGGAAUCAUUCCUCCAAGUGAAACUGAACAUAAAAAUGAAUCUUCUCAUACAGCAGUGGUCUCCAAUGAUGGUAUCAAACAUGAAGACUCAACUAAAGAUCCACUGUCACCUGGCAUUCAACCUGGAGGGGAUAAUGAAGACGAAUAUCCCACAAACAAUCCCAUUGAUAAUUUGAUACCUGGAGUUUUUUCUGACAUUGAAAUUGGACAUGGCAGAGGACCAGCUUCUACAGCCACCAGUUCUACACUUAACAAACACGAUGGCAGAAGAGCAAAUCCAUCUGGACAGGUCACAACACCAAAAACAGCUUCACAGCCGAGAUCAGCCCAAAUACCAGAAUGGCUGAUCAUAGUGGCUUCUCUUCUGGCGCUGACAUUGAUUCUGGCAGUCUGCAUUGCUGUCAACAGUCGGAGCAGGUAAGGAAGCCCAUUUCUAGCUUUGGAUAGAGGAGGUCAUUGUUGGAGAACGUGCUGCCUUGAUGUCUUUAUUGUUGAGAGAUCUAUGAAGCUUCUGGUAGCUUUGGAAAAGCACAGAGAAGAGUUUCUGCCACAGUGGCAAUCUCUGUGAAC